CAUCAGAGCUGAUCCGGCUGCGGGAUGGGGAGGCUGGGGGCGUGGGCCAGAUCCCUAAUGUCCACAGCUCCAGGCUAGAUCCCUGGAGCUGCGUCCCCGGCUGGGUCUCUAUCCCCAUCCCAUACUGCGCCCCUAGAUCCCUGCCUCUUGGAUGGAAUUUAUACUACUACCCUUAUUCGCCCUGCCAGGGUAGGGCUCCUCUUUUCGUGUUGAAUCCCACGGCUCUCCAUGUGACCUCACACUGUAGACUGAGGUGCCCUCCCCACCCCCCUCCCACCCCAACCCUGAGCAGGGAAAGGGCUGGGACCAGGUAGAUGGUGUCUUGGGCCGAUGUGGGAGCGGCAAGAAUCUGCCCGAGACGUGGGUUCUCACUCACUCCAGAAAGCAACUGGCAGGUGCCAAGACCCAGCUUUCAGACACCAGCGCCCCAUGGCAAGGGCGACAGUGCAGUUCUCCUCCAUGGGCUCCCUGGGGCCUGACUGGAGCUCCAGCGGCUGGGUGGG